rnacentral:lncRNA from 1 species
GGAUUUUUCAUAAAGCCUAAAAUUUGGUUCCUUGAUUCGUGGAAGAUUGAAAAUUUAAGACCUAAUUCGCUAUGGAAAUAUUUGAGCUCAAUCUGUAAAAAAAAAAAAAAAGGAAAGAAUCUAGAAGAAUAAAAUCUUUAAAAUCUUUGAUAAAAUUCGGUGAAGUUAUUGCCUGUCCAGAUUAAAGUGGGGUUUGAUCCUAUAAAAGGACCCAAUUGGUAACCACAGCGGGGCCUCACAGUAAUUAACAAGGCAUCAAUCAAUUCAGAAGCAGUUUAGCAGCAAACAAUUCAGCGGCAACAGAGGCAGUAUGCAAUAAAAUCAGAAAAACAGCAACAAGCCCAAUUUUCAGAGGCAAUUGGCAGCGCAUCAAUCAAGCAAUAACAAGCAGUAAGAAACACUCGGUAGAAAAAGCACAUUCAACAGCCGUGCAAACCAGAGGAAGAACACAGAAGUAAUUAACAAGGAAGAAGAAGGAAUUAAGAACAAUUCCAAGCAAAGGCAGAGUUCGACAGCAAGAACCCAAGUCAGAAACAAUUAUUAGCUAACGACUACAACAGCCGAGGGCCUUAAUCAACAAGGAAAGCAAAGCACAGAAAGUUUAGCAGAAAAUUUGAAAGAAAACAUUCAAGCAAAAAAUCAGAAACAAGAAUCCAAGCCCAGAAUUAGCCACUAACCAGGAACCUACAGCAAUUCACCUAGCAAUAAACCCAGACACAACCAAACAAGAAGCAACCCUGAAGCAGUUUUCAGUAAUGCCUAAUUCCUGUAGCACAAAUUCAGACGGGACACCAAUCAGCUCCAGGAAACACAAUUAACAGAGAACCCAGACUCAGUCAAUCCCAAACCCAUACCCAGAAUCGAAACCCAUAGUCCAAAGAUCAAGCAAAAUUCUAACAACAAUAAAACACAAUUCACACAGAGAGCUAGAAAUUGUAUAGAAUCGGAAAUUGGGAAAAGUUUUUGAGGUCACGAUUUGAGUAAGUUUCAGAGAUUCUUGGUGUAGUUGGCUAGAAAAGGAAGCAACUUUUGGUGAAUUUUCGACGGCAUAGGCAGCGGCGUAAUGCAGGGAUUUGGGUUUAAAGAUUUUUCUGGCGUUGGUGUUUAAGAGCGAUGAAGGAAUCGAAGCAAACUUUUUGGGUUUCCGAAGAAGGUGCGACCGGUGGUGGUGGUGACGGCGGCAAGCUCGCCGAAGUCUGGGUUGCGUGAUGACCGGCCAAUCUUGGGAGAUUUGUUCUUGAGAAGUUUAAAGCUGGUAGAGAGAGAAGUAAGAAAGAGAAAAUGAAGCAAGGAAGCUGAGGCCUUUACUCUCAAUAAAAACGGCGCCGUUUUUGCACCAGCAAAAUUCAAGCUUGGCCCGCAUGCUUGCCCCAAGGCAACCCGAUCCGUGUGAUAUUGGCCCGAUCCGAUUGGUAAAAUCGUUUUUUUUUUAUUCUUUUAUUUUUUUAAAACAUUCUUAAUAUUUUGCAUGAAUAUUUUUGGUAUGAUUUGGCAUUAUUUUAUUUUUAUU